rnacentral:rRNA from 1 species
UAGAGUUUGAUCCUGGCUCAGAUUGAACGCUGGCGGCAUGCUUAAUACAUGCAAGUCGAACGGUAACAGGUUCUUCGGAAUGCUGACGAGUGGCGGACGGGUGAGUAACGCGUAAGAAUUUGCCCAGUAGUGGGGGACAACAUGGGGAAACGCAUGCUAAUACCGCAUACGCCCUAUGGGGGAAAGAGGGCCUCUCCUUGGAAGCUCUUGCUGUUGGAUGAGCCUGCGUCGGAUUAGCUAGUUGGUAGGGUAAUGGCCUACCAAGGCAACGAUGGUUAGCGGGUCUGAGAGGAUGAUCCGCCACACUGGAACUGGAACACGGACCAGACUCCUACGGGAGGCAGCAGUGAGGAAUAUUGCGCAAUGGGGGAAACCCUGACGCAGCGACGCCGCGUGAGUGAAGAAGGCCUUAGGGUUGUAAAGCACUUUCAGUAGGGAGGAAAAGUUAGUCGUUAAUAUCGGCUAACCCUGACGUUACCUACAGAAGAAGCACCGGCAAACUCCGUGCCAGCAGCCGCGGUAAUACGGAGGGUGCGAGCGUUAAUCGGAAUUACUGGGCGUAAAGCGCGCGUAGGCGGCCUGAUAAGUUGGAUGUGAAAGCCCUGGGCUCAACCUAGGAACUGCAUUCAAAACUGUCAGGCUAGAGUAUGGUAGAGGAUAGUGGAAUUUCCGGUGUAGCGGUGAAAUGCGUAGAGAUCGGAAGGAACAUAAGUGGCGAAGGCGGAUAUCUGGAACAACACGUACUCUGAGGGGCGAAAGCGGUGGUAGCAAACAUGAUUAGAUACCCUGGUAGGCCACGCCUUAAACGAUGUCAACUAGCCGUUGGGGGGCUUGUCCCGUUAGUGGCGCACCUAACGCGAUAAGUUGUCCCCCUGGGGAGUACGACCGCAAGGUUAAAACUCAAAUGAAUUGACGGGGGCCCGCACAAGCGGUGGAGCAUGUGGUUUAAUGCGAUGCAACGCGAAGAACCUUACCUGGCUUUGACAUCCUUGGGACCUCGCAGAGAUGUGAGGGUGCCUUCGGGAGCCAGGUGACAGGUGCUGCAUGGCUGUCGUCAGCUCGUGUCGUGAGAUGUUGGGUUAAGUCCCGUAACGAGCGCAACCCUUAUCUCUAGUUGCCAGCGAUUCGGUCGGGAACUCUAGAGAGACUGCCGGUGACAAACCGGAGGAAGGUGAGGACGACGUCAAGUCAUCAUGGCCCUUAUGUGUAGGGCUACACACGUGCUACAAUGGUCGGUACAGAGGGUCGCCAACCCGCGAGGGGGAGCUAAUCUCACAAAGCCGAUCGUAGUCCGGAUUGCAGUCUGCAACUCGACUGCAUGAAGUUGGAAUCGCUAGUAAUCGCAGAUCAGCACUGCUGCGGUGAAUACGUUCCCGGGCCUUGUACACACCGCCCGUCACACCAUGGGAGUUGUCUGCACCAGAAGUGGUUAGCCUAACCUUCGGGAGGGCGAUCACCACGGUGUGGUCAAUGACUGGGGUGAAGUCGUAACAAGGUAAC